GUGGUUAUAGCUCAGUGGUAGAGCACAUGGUUAGCAUGCACGCGCUAGCAUGAGGUCCUGGGUUCAAUCCCCAGUACCUUCA
rnacentral:tRNA from 1 species